UUGUGGUUAGAUUCUGAUUGACUAUUGAAAUUAAGUAGAUUGGUGGCUAUUACUAAUUCAAUAAUUUAAUGAUGGUAUCUUUGUUUCAAGGAUUUGACAAGAAGCAUUGAAAGCGAAGGAUGGAAAGUCAGAAAGUAUGAAAAUAUUUGACGGUAUGAAUCUAGAUAGUGUUUUGGAAACCACAUAUGGCGAGACAGUCCUGAGGAUGGGAGAAGUAUGAUAAUUUUACCACUUGGUUGCCUCAAUGGUUAGAGAUAAAGCUCAUAAAAAGGGAUCCUGAAUUGCAAGUGGUGGUGAGAAGAAAUCCUACGAAGGGAGAUGAUGAAUUGAGACAUCUUCUCACGAGUUAAGAGGAGAAGCUGCCAUGUCAGAUAUUUGAACUUCAACGCAGAAGAGGAAGUUGUGGAUCUUGCAGUCCACCACAUAUCCUGAGCAACAACUUGUCAAUUUAAGGAUUUAGCCAAAAUUUGUAAUAGUUUGAGAAACAACUGAAAGAUCACCUCGGUCAACUCUGCCUGGCUAUCCCCUUUGUAAAUUUGAGAGCAACCAGAGAAUCAUCCCUGCCAACUGCAAAUGUCCCAUUCCUGUGUUUGAAAAAAUACGCUGGCCACUAUAAUUAACUAUGCCAUAAUCAAAUGGAUUUGCUGAAGACA